CGGACGGGCGAGUAACGCGUGGGUAACCUGCCUUGUACAGGGGGAUAACAGUUGGAAACGGCUGCUAAUACCGCAUAAGCGCACGGCAUCGCAUGAUGCAGUGUGAAAAACUCCGGUGGUAUAAGAUGGACCCGCGUUGGAUUAGCUAGUUGGUGAGGUAACGGCCCACCAAGGCGACGAUCCAUAGCCGACCUGAGAGGGUGACCGGCCACAUUGGGACUGAGACACGGCCCAA
rnacentral:rRNA from 1 species